rnacentral:rRNA from 1 species
AGAUGUAUAGAGGGUGAGGCCUGCCCAAUGGUUGUAUCUAAAAGCGGUUGAUAAAAGUCGACCUCGUAAGGACAAUUGAAUGGCCGCGGUAACACUGACCGUGAUAAUGUAGCGUAAUCAAUAGCCAAUUAAUUGUUGGCCAGUAUGAAUGGCGCCACGAAGGCCCCACUGUCUUAAGGAAAUUCCCAGUGAAAUUGAAUUCGUAGUGAAGAUGCUACGUCCAAUUUGUUAGACGAAAAGACCCCGUUGAGCUUUACUGGGGCACUUACACGGCCCCGGCCUUCCAAACUAGGCUUACUAUGCCUAGAGGUCGGCCGAAUUUAAAUGGGUGGUUUAGAUUAUGUGGCAGCCCCCCGUCGGGGCAGAUGAAACCCCACUCCCCCAUGUCAAAGGGGCUAACCCCCCCCCUUGGGGGGGGACAGUGUAAGUAGGACAGUUUGGUUGGGGCGACCGCCUUUUAAAGAGUAACGAAGGUGCGCUUAAGGUGCGCAAAUAAUGACUGAAGCCUGACUGCGAGGGGGACACCCCGAGCAGACACCCCCAAGCCUGCCCUAAGGGCGGCGGUGGGGUGGGCCAUAGUGACCCGUUAAUUUAGAGUGGAAUAGUUAACGAUCAACGAAUAAAAGUUACCACGGGGAUAACAGCGUAAUAUCGUUAGAGAGUUCACAUCGACGACGAUGUUUGCGACCUCGA